rnacentral:tRNA from 2 species
UGGGCUGUCGACAAGUGGUAAGUCAGCAGAUUUUGAUUCUGCCAUGCGAAGGUUCGAACCCUUCCAGCCCAG